CAGUCGCCGCGGGAAUACGAAGGGUGCAAGCGUUAUCCGGAAUUAUUGGGCGUAAAGAGCUCGUAGGCGGUUUGUCGCGUCUGCCGUGAAAGUCCGGGGCUCAACCCCGGAUCUGCGGUGGGUACGGGCAGACUAGAGUGAUGUAGGGGAGACUGGAAUUCCUGGUGUAGCGGUGAAAUGCGCAGAUAUCAGGAGGAACACCGAUGGCGAAGGCAGGUCUCUGGGCAUUAACUGACGCUGAGGAGCGAAAGCAUGGGGAGCGAACAGGAUUAGAUACCCCUGUAGUCCCUGUCUCUUAUAA
rnacentral:rRNA from 1 species